rnacentral:misc_RNA from 1 species
AUGCAACUUUGACCCCACAUGGUAUGGCAUCAGGAAAACUGAUUAAUACGUCCUCAAAUUGCAUACCAUCCAACUGUGGCCACCCUUUUAUGUAAAACUCGCAAUUUUCAAACCCAAGGAUAUCUUCCCAGAUCUGUGCGAGUCCUGGCUGCCGCGCACAUUGAAUCAUCAAGCGACCAAUGACAUCAUGAGCUACAACAGUUUCAACAAGAUCUCCACCAACAAGUUUUACAAGGACCUCAUUGUCAAGGUCACUGAGUUCAACCACAAUGUGCCCUCUCAGGCCUUCUUUCACUCCCGUCAGACUUAAAACUGUUCUCAAUGCACGAGCAUCACUCUGGUCAGCAUUUCCAUCUUCGGCAAGGACAAUUAUUGCACGGGCCUUGGAGACAGAUACCUUUUUAAGGUCAGCAAGAAUCAGAGGACUUCCGCUUCUGCAUAUGACUUUAGUCCCUUUGAAGUCAAACUCCAUUUUAGCAAUGUCCAUUUCCAUCUCCUCUUUGUCUCGUUCAGCCAUCACUACAACAAUCCCUCCGCCC